UUUCCUCCUUCCAGCUUAAUGGGGCUGCCACUGGCUUUGCUCUUCAUGCUGGAGACAUUCUCAACAUCAGGUUUCACUUGAUCUUCAUUUUCACAUCACUUAGAGAGCCUAAAAAUGUCAAGGUGUCUGAGACUGGGGUCAGGACCCUGUGAUUAAGAUUGGCCCUAUAUUUCUCCAUUUUCACACUGAAUGGUCAGUAUUUUAGCAUUGCCUUUUCUUUUCUAUUUUGAUUAUAAGCCCCCUGUCAGAGGCAAUUUUUCUGGACUGGGGUAGAAGAGUGACUUCUUAUCUCUGCAGCUCCCAGGAUGAAAGAGUAUUAGAUGAGGACAUUUUCUGACACCAUAAUAAUUCCAAAAUAUUUGCUUCAAUUUGCAUCUUUUGGAGAUUCUGGCCAUCCCCAUCAAAGAUUCCUCUGGUGAUGAAUUGUAGCCCUGGGCUCAGUGCAGAAAGUGCAGAAAAUGCCUUUCCCCAAGAAGCUGUCAAGGAAAACUCUCCCUAAUGUGACCUUGCCUGUGAGCCUGGAUGUACUCCAGCCCAGGGGAGCCCUUUGAAUCUAAAAUGUAUAUAAACACAAGUACACAAAUCCAGUAGCAAUACAGAGCUGAAAAAAAUGUCAGGACACUGUCUCUGCAAUAAUAGCUCCAGAGAGGACAGCUUCUCGUGGCUGCUCUGCCUAAAAUGGGAAGCAGCAAGCAAGGGCAGCACUUGGAAGGAGGCAACAAGACUGGCUGGAGCCUUGGGCUGUGUGAUAGAGCACCAGGGAUGCUGACACCCAUGGGGCAAACUGAGAGGCUCCCUCCUGCUGCAUCCCAGCUGAUAGGGCUGCGUUGAAAAUAUCCUUCAUUUUCAGUGUUGGAGAUAAGGCCUCUUAUUUAUGAGAGUGAAAACUCUGGCAUCCAGAGGAAGCACCUCGGCAUCUGCCCUGAAAGGCAUCGAGGUCUCUCUCAAUGCCCUGAGAGGGAUUAAAUACAAACAUCUGCUGAGUCUGUUACCGUGAGAUAUCUGUCUGGGCUCGUACCUUCCCUUCUUGUGUGCUCAUCUAAAAAAUAUACUCCUCAUUUAAGCAGUGCAUUCUCUCAACACCAAACAGGAUGUGAAAUAAUAAUACUUAAAACGAAGAAAAAAUGUCUGCAUUUCCGGCUGGCUUUAUUAACUGACAGAUCUCCUGCACUGCAAAAUGUAUCAAACACUUCCCUUUUGAAAAAUGAUGUAGAUAAUGGCUGACUAUUAGCACUAAUUGUACCCUGUGAUGUUUGGAAAAACUCAAAAGCACUGGAAGAACAGCCAAGAAAAGCUGAGAAAUCACUACAACAAUUGAUUUAAUGAAGUGAUUAGCUGUAUAUAAUACUCUCUGCUUGCAAGUGAAAAGACACCUCUGCUGGUUUUGCUUUGUUGCCAAGAGUAAUAAAAGAUACAACAACUAAGGAAACACAAAAGCAAUCAAGAAUGCAACCUAUCUUCAUGAACAUUUUCCUGAAAUAAAACACCUUGGGAAAUACAGAAGCACCAGGAUCAAAGUGAAAAAAAAACCCAGCUUGUACAUUUGUUUGGAUAUUGCUACAUGGAGAAGAAGGAAUGGGAAAUUAUUUUUCCAUACACAGUUAUAAAUUGCAUAAUUUAAAAUAAUUUCACUAAAAUCAUAUGAUUAAAAUUAAAGAUGGUGACCAAAUUUGAGCACCAGACACUAAAACCCAGGAACAGUAACAGAAAUUGAUUUAUUUAUUUCCCCAUGGCAGAGAUUAAUUACUGCUGGAAUUGCAGUUGUACUUCUUGCAUGUUCAGCUUCCUUGUUUUCAAGACUCACUUUUAGUGUUAUCAAAAAAAAACCAACAAACAAACAAUUCAAGCCCCCAAACUUUUUGAUUAUGCGAAUAUUUUUUCUAGCCUAGUUUUGGGGAGGGUGCCCUUUUGAUUUAAUAUUAUUUGUAUUCCUUAUUCUCUUUGACUUAUUUCCCACAGCGAAGAAUUCAUAGCACUUCUGGAAAUAAUUUUGCAACAUUCAAGUUGCAAACUUUGCCACAUGAGUAAUCACUUCUAAUAUGUUUUUACACAUCUUUCUUUGAUUCUUUUCACACCAGGCCCUAAAAUCUCACAGUAGGCCCUGCCACUAUGCCAGGAAAAGCAGAUGUAGCAUUUUUAGUAAUUAAUUCUUUGGUUCAUUCAAGUCCUUAUGUAAAAUUCCUAUUUCUAGGAAUUGCAUCCAAAAGUGCAUAUGCUUGAAAGGUUAUUAAAUAUUAAUAUUGGGAAAAGGAAGGCUGUUCUCACUUCUUCUUCUUCUAAAGUCCUCUUUUGAUUUACUGCUUUCUGUAGACCCAAAUGUAAAUAGUGUCACAGCAAAUAAGUGUUUAGUGUCUGUGAAGUUUAUUCUAUUUGGGUUCUUAAGUCUGAGUUAUAAUGUAUAUAAAUUAGUGGCCAGUGAGUGUUGUUUAAUUAUCUGGAAGCCUUGUCAUUGAAAAAGUGACCUGUUCUGGCUUUCUUGCCAGGAGGAAUUGAAGUUGUUAUGCUAAAGUCUGGACAAUUCGAUGUAAAUAUUUACCCACUCAAUAAAGAGGUGUUAAAGCUAAUUCAGCUUUAGGAUGUUAAGUCCUGGAGAUCACACAAAUCCCCAUGGGAAGCCAGCUUCAAGUUCCACAGGGAAGCUUUAGAUCCUGCUGCAGUGAAUGAAAAGAUGCUCUAACAAGGUGAAUAAGGAUAAGUUUGGGCUUGAUCAUGAGCAUGCCUGGGAAAAAUGAUCUGCACACGAAGAAGGAUCCUCCUCUCUGUCUGUGCUUCCCUCGCAGUGCCCAUCACUGUGGAUUUUGUCUGGAUUUUUUAGUUCUGAGUGAAGGUCAGUGCAAACAGCCCAUCUGAGAUCUCCAAAAUAUCCUGCCUGGUUUCUGCCUGGAGCCUCAGGUGUGUUCUGCAUGUCUUCCAGCAUGUGGAUAUCUUAGCUAGGGUGGGGUGGCCCACAGGGCAUGAGACAGAGGCGUGUGAGCAGCUGAACCAGGUCCUCACCCUCAGCAAGUCAGAGCAAUGACCACCAACCCAAGGGGUUACUGUUUCGGUCAGUUUGCAGAAUUUCAGUCAAAAAUCGGGGUAGCACAGAGAUGGUGAUUUUUGCUUUAAGGUUUGGUUGUGUGUGGGGAUAGAAUAUAAGAAAAUAAAGAGAGUGCAGAAAGUAAUCUCACCCCUAAGGAGUUGCAGCUGGGCCAAUUAUCAAAGAUUAGGAACAGGCCUGACUUGAACAGGCCACAGCGGUAACUAAUGAGAAGAAGAGUGCUAUAAAAGAGUGGGUUGGCAUCUUUGUGAAGAAGAGAGAGUUGGUGCUCUGAAGAGCUGCCCAUGAGAAAACACCAAGAAGCUGCCACUGGGAAAAGCUGAAGAGGACACUGAAAAGGACAAAAUGCAGACAGAAUUAAAGCAGAUCUGCUGAGCUGAAGUUGUUUUCAACUUCUUCCAAGAGAGGAAUACCCCAGUUUCCAGUUUCAUCUUCCUAAAGCAAUGAUACUUGCAGAGAAUUAUAGUGAGCCUUUUCCCAGGAUUUUUGUUGCAUUCAGUAGUAACUUGAAAAAGAAAUGCCCUGACAAUGCCUAUGUAUACACAUAUUUGGAAUGCCAAAAACUGCUUCUCAUGGAUUUCAAACCACUCAGACAAGAAGGUGGCAGGCUCCACACACCUCGGAACUGCCACUUGCUGGUCAUACAACGCAGAAGUAUCUGUUCAAAUUCCAGGUAAACACAGUAACAAAUGACAAUAAAGGAGCAGGACAGGUUUUUUAGCCUAUGUGGAGAAAACACACCAGUGCUGUUCUUGAUUUGGUUCAUGUUUGUCCUAAAGUGGAAGAUGAAGAAUGUACUCAGUAGAAAUUUGAGUUUAGGGGUUAAUUUUGCUCCCUUGUUACUUUUGCAAUGUAAAAUGCACUUUUCACAAGACAUCAAAUUGGCAUAACCAGGAACAAGUUAAUUUAGCUCUCAGAAAAUCUGGCUCCACGUAUCUCAGAUUGUCCAUUCCGUGUCACUCCUCUCUCCCUUUUCCCUUGCUGUUAUCUCCCUUCUGUCUGUUGGCUGCAGAAAGGAAACCAAAGGCUCCGACCACCCACGGGGCCUCCUCAGCAGCUGUAAAACAAAAAUGCCUUUUCUGCAGCAGUGCCAUCUUCUGUGGCUGGGCUUGGGUUGGCAUCAGGGGCCAAGUCUGGUAUCAGCCAGGAAAUUUCUUUGAAAAGGCAGAAGGAGAACGUCUUUGCAGCGCUUCCCUCAGCCUGAGUGUUUCCUCUGGGGAAUCUGCUAUCCUGUUGGAUGUACAAAAUAGGUUGGGUUUGUUUUGGUUUUUUUUAGGGGGGGGAUGGGUUUGUUCUCUGUUCAAGGUCCAAAUGACUUGGGUUGAGCGUUCUCAGCAUUUUAAGGGAAAAGAGCCAUGGCCCACCUUGGCUUUUAUGGGAGAGGAAGAAUGUAAAUCAAAAAUUGAAUUCAUGUAACUUUGUGGGUGGCCUCCCCUGCUAUGCAGAAUAUCUUUGUGUACACUCAUGUCUGCCAUGACUUUGAGAAAAAGCCCUUUACUUGUAUGGCAACAAACUUGUAAGUCAGAGUGUUUACGUUCCUGAGCACUAUAUCAUAUUUCCUGACAGAGUUAAUGAAACAAAUUAAGCAAAACUCCACACAGAAUUCCUGCAUUCACAGAAAACUUUGCAGAAUUCUUGCAGCUCCUGGUUGUGGUGGUAGCUGAGUAUGUCGAGCCUUAUUUUCCAUUUUCUAAAAAAUCCUAAGCUGCCUGGCCUAGUCUUGACUUUUUUUAUCUUAAGGAAUGAAGGAUUAGGUUAAAAUACUCUUUAAAACUACAUCCCACUUCUUUCAGAGGCUCCAAAAUCAGUUUUCAGAGUGACCCAAAGGAUUGGUCAGCUUCAUGGGGACCUGACAUGUGUUUAAAGUUAAGAAAAUGAUUGAUGACAGGGUACUUUGAGCACACAUUUUCCUGACUUGGGUCAUCAGGCAAACGAAUCACUCAAUUAAUUCAACGAGAAGGCUGCAAAAGCAUAAAUAUACAAGUGUUUGCCAUGCUGGGUUAUUAAUGUGGUGUCCUCCAAAGAGGUACCAUCAGGUCAUUGGAGAUGCCAGGGAAAUGUGUACAGCAGAGCUCAUUCACAGGAAACAGGGCUGCCCUUCUUCACUUAUUUGAUAUCUCUGAUCAGUUUUGAAACGUAAGAACAACAAAAUGCCCAGAUUUGCAACUAAAGAAAAAGGGUUUUAUGAAAUACAAGUGAAUCUUGACAUUCAAGCUGGUUUUCCACACCCAUUUAAUGCAGCUUUAGACUGGUUAUAUAUUCACUCUUUGAGGCAAGGCACCACGGAAGACAUUUCAGCAAGUAAAUGGAAAAAUGUUGCUCAGAAGAAACGUCCACAUUUACCUAAUCAUCCUUCUGCAGCCAAAACUUUCUUCAGGAAGGGGCCUCAGGAAGUUCCUCACCCAUGAAUUCCUGCUGACUGUAAUGGAAUGGGCAGACAUGAAUGAGUAACCAACCCCAGAGUGUACAGCCAGCUCAGAGACCAGCCUUUUACUAUCAAAAUUCUUUAGUUUUUCAUUUAAGAAUUUCAUAUUCAUGCAAAUUUCCUAUAGUAUAAAAAUUGUCAAGAUUAAAACUACGUAUGUAAGUUAAGAUUAAUGCCAUCAAUUAUAUACAUAGACUAUGAUUAAUAUGCUAUACUAUUCUUAAAAAUGUUUUAGAUAAAAUGGAAGUUGAAUAUUUGGAUUUUAAAAUACGGAUUUUCAACUAUGCCUUACACCAGUUUUCUAUUGAUAUUUUUAAUAUAUAUUCAUGACUUAAUUUAUUUAAUAAAACUUGAAAUUUGCCACAUAUCUAUUCUUACUCCAAAUUCUCCAAUCUUCAUCUAACAAAAAAUUAUCAUUCUGUUGCAAAUUUGUUGAAAACUGACCAAGAUAGAAUGACAGGAAUAUCAUGUCUUUUAAAAAUAUUCCUCCAAAAUCAACCUGUAUCUCACAAAAAAAGAAACAACUGGAUUCUAAACUAUGCAUAAUUCUAAAAGCUUACUCUCAAGCAUCCAUUUUUAGAAAUACAGAACCAUUCCUCCAGCUUUUUAAAUAGCUGAAACUUAAUAUGCCAUAAAAACAUACUGUAAAUAUUUCUGUUGCUGGAAUGGUGUCUCUGUUACCACAAGGAGUUGCUAGGAUAUUAUCUGUGUCAGGAAGUUUGUUGUGCCUUCAUAAAGGAAAACUAACAGUCAUUUUGAUGCAUUAUGCAAAUAAUAUCCUGUUUUCUCAACAGAUUCCUUUGCAGCAAUCAAAAAAAAAAAAACAAAAAAACCCUCCCAGCCUUUGAGCAGAUUUCUGUACUCUGCUGUCAGCUUCCCUGCAAGGAAUUUUUUCUGCAGUGAUUACAGUAGUAAAUAAACCUGUGCCUAACUGAAUUUAGUGCUUGAGAUCAUACUGCAGACACAUCUCAGAGAGAUUUUCAGACUCAGAAACAGGAAAAAUGUUUAAAAUAAAUAGGUUUUGUCACCAAAAUUAUGUUUAGAAGUGACUGUUAAACUGAUACUAAGAAUGAUGUGUUUAACAGAGGAGUAAAGACAUUAAGUUCAUCACUGUAAAAGAGAAAUUUGGUUGCAAAACUUGUCUGGCCCUCUUGUUGCUGAUACCUUAAAAAAAACCUGUGAUAGAAUUAAACAUUAUUAGAGUACUUAUAAUAAAAAGAGGAAGUUAUUCUCUCUUUAAGACACAUAAUUUAUGCUUGACUUGUCUUUGAUGUUCCCAAGGUAUUUUAGGUUUCGUUGGGGUUUUUUUUUCAAUAUCUGCAGGAAAUCACUUCAGUCUAACUUAACUCUAGGCAAGCCACAACUUUGCUAUGCUGAGUUUGGACCUCGCUGCUUGUUCAGGUGUUGUUUUAAGGGUCCUUUAGUUCCUCCCUCAUUCCUGUUUUCUUUGUUUGAACAAGGACUGAAUGAAGGUUAAAGCCUCCAAAUUACGGCUACAGUUCCUUGUUAGAGAAAGCAGUGACAAUGGUCUUUGUUUAAAUGUAUAGGAUAUAAACUGUAGGCCUAAAAUCCAACCAAAUUUUUUGGAGCUUAGCAAGCCUUUCAGCUCAUGUUAUUUUCUUGCAUUUCUUGGUGGUGGUCAGAAGAGAAGUCUCUGAGCUGCACCAGGACAUUCAGUGCCCUGUUUCUGACCCAGCAGGGCGAGGAAAUGUCAAUGUGAUGAGGAGGCCUUGGGAGAUCUGCAGUGUGAAUUCCAGGCAAAAGUUAUUCAAACAAGCACGAGGUGGAUUUUGUGCAAUCUAUUUUCAGUUUGAUUCAUUACUGGUUUGGGGGUUUUGACCACCAUUGAAAAAUCGAAAGGAUGAAAGAGAGUAUUUUCCUGACAAAAUCAAAAUGGAACCUAUGGUAAACCUGGUUUUACCCAGCACUGGAUUUAAGGUUGAAAAAUAGCACAGUGGAUUCAUUAUAUUUGUUCUUUAGACAAAGGGAGCUAUGAAGAAGAAUUAGACAUCUUCAUAAGAUUUUUUUCCUUAAAUAUGCAACAGCAAGCUAGGAAGAAAAAUUCGUGUAUCAAAAUAUAUGUUUUUUAGUUUAAUGUCAGGUGUAGAAAAUUAUUUCCAUGUUUUGACAAUAUGUGACUAAUAAUGAUUGGUAAAUCAGAAUUAUUUGGGUUUUAAAUCCACUGCACAGGAUCCCCUUCAGCAAUGAAAUAAAGUUAAGGAUGAAAAGAGAGAAAUUAUUUAUUAUUUCAUCAAAGGAAAAACACUCUAAAUGUAUUUAGCAUUUAUAUCACUGAUAUAUUUGCAAAAAAGUUAAGUAAGAAGUACUUCUUUUAAAAAAUAAGUAGGG